rnacentral:tRNA from 1 species
GGCAAUGUAGCUCAGAGGCAGAGUGCUUGCCUAGCAUGUAUGAAGCCUUGGGUUCAAUUCCAAGUGUCU